rnacentral:rRNA from 1 species
AACGAACGCUGGCGGCGCGCCUAAUACAUGCAAGUCGAGCGAGAAGGUGUAGCAAUACACUUGUAAAGCGGCGAACGGGUGAGGAAUACAUGGGUAAUCUACCAUCGAGUGGGGAAUAACCAGCCGAAAGGUUGGCUAAUACCGCGUACGCCUCCGAAUCUUCGGGUUCGGAGGGAAAGCCACACUGUGAGUGCGGCGCUCUUUGAUGAGCUCAUGUCCUAUCAGCUUGUUGGUAGGGUAACGGCCUACCAAGGCUUUGACGGGUAGCUGGUCUGAGAGGACGAUCAGCCACACUGGCACUGCGACACGGGCCAGACUCCUACGGGAGGCAGCAGUAAGGAAUAUUGCGCAAUGGGCGAAAGCCUGACGCAGCGACGCCGCGUGGGGGAUGAAGGUCUUCGGAUUGUAAACCCCUUUCGGGAGGGAAGAUGGAGCGAGCAAUCGUUCGGACGGUACCUCCAGAAGCAGCCACGGCCAACUUCGUGCCAGCAGCC